rnacentral:snRNA from 1 species
AUGCUUGCUUCAGCAGCACAUAUACUAAAACUGAAACAAUACAGAGAAGAUUAGCAUGGCCCCUGCACAAAGAUAACAAGCAAAUUCAUGAAGUAGUCCACAUUAAA